rnacentral:rRNA from 1 species
AUUGAACGCUGGCGGCAUGCCUAACACAUGCAAGUCGAGCGGAUGAAGGGAGCUUGCUCCUGGAUUCAGCGGCGGACGGGUGAGUAAUGCCUAGGAAUCUGCCUGGUAGUGGGGGAUAACGUCCGGAAACGGGCGCUAAUACCGCAUACGUCCUGAGGGAGAAAGUGGGGGAUCUUCGGACCUCACGCUAUCAGAUGAGCCUAGGUCGGAUUAGCUAGUUGGUGGGGUAAAGGCCUACCAAGGCGACGAUCCGUAACUGGUCUGAGAGGAUGAUCAGUCACACUGGAACUGAGACACGGUCCAGACUCCUACGGGAGGCAGCAGUGGGGAAUAUUGGACAAUGGGCGAAAGCCUGAUCCAGCAAUGCCGCGUGUGUGAAGAAGGUCUUCGGAUUGUAAAGCACUUUAAGUUGGGAGGAAGGGCAGUAAGUUAAUACAUUGCUGUUUUGACGUUACCAACAGAAUAAGCACCGGCUAACUUCGUG